rnacentral:rRNA from 1 species
AAGGAUCAUUAUCAAAAGUCAAGUCGGGGGCUGUAAAGCUCUCGUCUACACCCAUGUCUUUUGCGUACUCUUGUUUCCUCGGUGGCGCAAGCUGCCGAUUGGACAAACCAAAACCUUUUUUGUAAUUGCAAUCAGCGUCUGAAAAUAAUCUAAUUAUUUACAACUUUCAACAACGGAUCUCUUGGUUCUGGCAUCGAUGAAGAACGCAGCGAAAUGCGAUAAGUAGUGUGAAUUGCAGAAUUCAGUGAAUCAUCGAAUCUUUGAACGCACAUUGCGCCCCUUGGUAUUCCAUGGGGCAUGCCUGUUCGAGCGUCAUUUGUACCCUCAAGCUUUGCUUGGUGUUGGGCGUCUUGUCGUAUUACGACUCGCCUUAAAUUCAUUGGCAGCCGGCACUUUGGCCUAGGAGCGCAGCACAUUUUGCGAUCGUAGCCCGUUGUACUGGCGUCCAUCAAGAACAUUUACCACGUUUGACCUCGGA